GAUGAACGCUAGCUACAGGCCUAACACAUGCAAGUCGAGGGACCGGCGCACGGGUGAGUAACACGUAUCUAACCUGCCCUUUACUCGGGGAUAGCCUUUCGAUAGAAAGAUUAAUACCCGAUAUAAUGGAUGGGGAUGCGUUCGAUUAGGUUGUUGGUGAGGGAACGGCUAACGAAGCGUUCGAUGGUUAGGGGUUCUGAGAGGCAGGGCCCCCACAUUGGAACUACGACCCGGACCAAACUCCUAGGGGGGGGAGCGGUGUGGAAUAUUGGGCGAGGGGCGCUAGCCUGACCCAGCCAAGUAGCGUGAAGAAGGAAGGCGUAUUGGUCGUAAACUUCUUGUAUAUAAGAAUAUGUAUUAUAUGAAUAAGCAUCGGCUAACUCCGUGCCAGCCGCCGCGGUAAUUC
rnacentral:rRNA from 1 species